rnacentral:rRNA from 1 species
CGGGGAGGUAGUGACGAAAAAUAACGAUACGGGACUCAUCCGAGGCCCCGUAAUCGGAAUGAGUACACUUUAAAUCCUUUAACGAGGACCAAUUGGAGGGCAAGUCUGGUGCCAGCAGCCGCGGUAAUUCCAGCUCCAAUAGCGUAUAUUAAAGUUGUUGCGGUUAAAAAGCUCGUAGUUGAAUCUGUGUGUCACAGUGUCGGUUCACCGCUCGCGGUGUUUAACUGGCAUUAUGUGGUACGUCCUAUCGGUGGACUUAGCUCCUUGCGGGCGGUCCAACCAAUAUCCCAUCGCGGUGCUCUUCACUGAGUGUCGAGGUGGGCCGAUACGUUUACUUUGAACAAAUUAGAGUGCUCAAAGCAGGCUACUUUCGCCUGAAUACUGUGUGCAUGGAAUAAUGAAAUAGGACCUCGGUUCUAUUUUGUUGGUUUUCGGAACCCCGAGGUAAUGAUUAAUAGGGACAGAUGGGGGCAUUCGUAUUGCGACGUUAGAGGUGAAAUUCUUGGAUCGUCGCAAGACGGACUAAAGCGAAAGCAUUUGCCAAAAAUGUUUUCAUUAAUCAAGAACGAAAGUUAGAGGUUCGAAGGCGAUCAGAUACCGCCCUAGUUCUAACCAUAAACGAUGCCAGCUAGCGAUCCGCCGAAGUUCCUCCGAUGACUCGGCGGGCAGCUUCCGGGAAACCAAAGCUUUUGGGUUCCGGGGGAAGUAUGGUUGCAAAGCUGAAACUUAAAGGAAUUGACGGAAGGGCACCACCAGGAGUGGAGCCUGCGGCUUAAUUUGACUC